rnacentral:lncRNA from 1 species
CAAAGAAUUAUAUCUAAACAGAAAACAAAUAAUCAAAUAAUAAUUAUAGAGAUAAUUAAGAAUCAUAUCCCUAGAAUCAGUUAGGAUUAGUAAAUAAGUCAACACUCCCCCUCAAAUUGGUGCAAAGAUGUCGCACAUACCCAACUUGCAAAUCAGAUUAUGGUAGGUCUUGUUGUUCCGGAUAUGGGAGUAAAAGAGUCAUUAGCAAUUCUGACACUAUCUUUGGUUAGAGAAGGAAAAUAAUUGAGAAAACCUUUAAAAGAGCCUAUCAUGUGUCUAUUCGUAACAGAAUCGAUAAUCCAUGGAACAUUAUUAAGAGAAGAAGCAUUACCUGACUUUACAAAGUUAGAUGUGGCACUGGAGGACGAGGAAUCAUAGUUAGGAAUUGAGACUCUUUUACCUUUUGCCAUGGUAAAUAUUUGUGAACCGUAAAAGAAUAGGAGGUAUCCAAGGUUGUACACACAAGAGAGUUCAAUCGAUUCACCAAAAGACCGGAUAGCGGCACGGAAAGGCCAGAAAGAUGGUCAGAAUCAUCGCCGAAGUGAUCAGAGCUGCGAAGCAGCGUCAAGCGAUUGGUCACGCGCUGGGAAAGGGAGGCGCAUGAGCCUCACGUGCGGGCUUUUCUGGCGUCGGAGCUGGGCGAUCGGCCAGCGACAAUUCUGGUGCCGGCGAUGAGAGGAGGAAAGGCUCCUAGAUGGGUUAGUACCAAAAAAGGUAGAUUUAGGGUUUUGAAACCCUAAAGAGGAAAAAAUUAAAUUUGAACCCUAAAAUCAGGAAAAAGCUCUGAUACUAUAAAGAAUUUUGAGAAAAUUUAGAGAAUUCUUAUAUUUCAUUCUUAAUCUUUACAAUUGGUUUAUAUGACUAUUUAUACACAAAGAAUUAUAUCUAAACAGGAAGCAAAUAAUCAAAUAAUAAUUACAGAGAUAAUUAAAGAUCCUAAUCAAAUCAAAUCAAAUCCCUAGAAUCAGUUAGGAUUAGCAAAUAAGUCAACAAAAUAGAUAUAAUGUUUUUAAAGUGAAGGAGAGCUAAGGGUGGCUAACUGGCUAUUCUUUAUUUUUUUCUAAUUUAUAUCUAUUUUAGAUUCAUUUUCAAGUAAAUAGAUAAAUAAUUAAAAAAUAAUAUCAAAGAAAGUUUUAAGCUUUAAUAUAUUUGUCUAAGUUUAGCCAUUUGCAAGAUAAAAUUUAAGAAAAAAAAUGAAAUUAACUCUUGAAAUUAGUUUCCAUAUAUUAAUAUCUUAAUCUAUGUUCAACACCUAAUUUAAAUUAGUGCUAAUGAUGUUUUAAGUAUGAUGGAUGAAUGCAUUUAUUUGAUAAAUUUAUGCUGUAUUAGUGCUAACAAGAUGGUUUGUAUGGUAGAGCUGAGCUUAGUUAGCUGGUUGGUUAGCUAGUUGGUUAGUCUAACUUAUUCAGUUAGAGUAGAUAGCUAUCAUUAGCAUGUAACACGUGAAUUAAAAAGGUUGAUAUACCUAUAUAUAAAGGUUACAACCAUAUGAAUAAAAUACAGAUUCUCAUUCAUGCAAAACUUCUAACGUGGUAUCAAAGCUCUGAAUCUCUGAUAACUUCUUCUCUCGCCGAUAAUGACUUCUUCUUCUUCCCUUCUGAUCUCUUCUACAGCGACAGAAGUAUCAAAUUCGGCUGAUCAUUUGGUCGGUCCUCCCGAGGAUGCUUUCUCCCCUUUCUUCCUUCAUCACUUUGAGAACCACAGCUCUGUCGUUGUAAUGCCUGAGAUGGUGCCAAACAACUUUCCAUCCUGGCUAAGAUCUUUCCAUCUGGAUUUUUAGAUGGCACUGUUCCUAAACCUUCACCGGUGGAUCCUCUGUACCUGCCAUGGACAAGAUGCAAUAAUUUCAUUGUUGCGUGGCUUCUUUGAUCAAUUUUUCCUUCAAUAGCCUCAAUUGUUUUUUAUCUGAAAGAUACAAACUAAAUUUGGUACAAGUUGCAUAAAAAGUUUUCUCAGCCAGAUGACUCGCGAAUUUGUCACCUGUAAAAUCUGGACUGUACUAUCACAGUCACUUAAGGUACAAAAUCUGUAGAUGCCUAUUUUACCGAGUUAAACGGAAUAUGGGAAGAACAUAGGGUCUAUAGGCCUCUUCCUUCUUGUUGUUGUGGAAAGUGUAACAGUGAAUAUUUUCAAAAGUAUAUUGAGGUCUUGCAAAAGGAUUGUGUAUUCAGGUUCUUGAAUGGCUUAAAUAAAACAUAUCCAGGCCUUAGAUCACAACUUAUUAAUAUGGAGCCCUUUCCCUCACUUGAUCAAGUUUACAAUAUGGUAUUGAGAGAAGAAAUAAAAAGAUCUAUCUUACUGCUGACUCAAUCUUUCACAGAAUCUAGUGCUGUGGCUAUCAAGAAAGGCAAAAGUGAUCUAGUUUGUUUUCACUAUGGUAAGCCAGGGCACGUUAAGGCACAAUGCUACAGGUUUGUAGGUUUUCCGCUAGAUUUUAAGUUUACAAAAUCCAAAACCAUCAGCAAUAUGAAUUCAAGGCAAGCUUCUGUUCAACAAGUUUUUGGUGGAUGUUCUUCUAAUUCAGCUGAAGGAUUCUCUCAUAUUGGUCUCUUUAAGGAACAAAUUUAGUAACUCAUGAAUCUUCUUAAUGACAAUACUGCAACCACGAUGCAAUCAAGUACAGGACCUAUUAAUUCUGUUUAGUUCAAACCUCAUAUCUGCACAAGUUAACAUUGCAGGUAUAAAUGCUAUAUCUCAGUACUCUUCUUAUUUUAGUACAGAGAUUUCUAUUUAUAGAGAUUUCUAUUGAUUGUAACAUAGAUGUGGGUGCCACUGAUCAUAUCUCAUGUAAUUCAACUUUAUUCACUGAUCUCAAGUGUGUGGUUAAGUCUUUUGUUUUUUGGCCAAAUGGACAAAAGGGUCAAGUUAUAGGAGUUGAGACAGUACACCUCAGUCAUUCACUUGUUCUUCAUAAUGUGUUAUUUAUUUCGGAAUUUAGUUUUAACCUGAUGUCUGUAAGCAAGUUGAUUGAUACUGAAAAAAUCUGUCAGUUUCAUGGCUAAUAAUUGUAUCAUUCAGAACCUUUUUUCAUGGAAGAAGAUUGGACUGGCUAAGCAGGAAGGUGGAUUGUUCAUCCUAAAGGCUAAGUCCAUAUGUCUCUCUUCAAUUGCUGUCCUUACACAAUCUUAUAAAGAUUUUUUCUUUUUAUAUUUGGCAUCAUAGGCUAGGACAUCCCUAUGAUGGAAGGAUGCUUUCUUUACGGUCACAAUUAAAGCUUCUUUCUAAUAAGACUUGUCCAUGUGAUGCCUGUUCAAGAGCUAACCAAAGGAGGUUGCCUUUUCUUGAACAUGUCUGUGCCACUACUUCUACUUUUGAAUUGGUUCACAUGGAUGUGUGGGGACCCUAUUCUCAAUGUGAUAUCAAUAAAAAUCACUAAAUCACUACUUUCUCACUGUAGUAGAUGAUUUCUCCAAAUUUGUAUGGACUUUUCUUAUGAAAUCAAAAUCAGAGUUUUAUUUCUUGUGCCUCGGUUCUAUGCAUAUGUUAAUACUCAGUUUCACACAUCUAUCAAGUAAAUAAGGACUGAUAAUGGCAGUGAAUUCUUUCUUCCUUCUUUUUUUGCUUUUAGUGGUAUCAUGCAUCAAAUACGUUGCAUUUAUACCCUUCAGCAGAAUGAGGUGGUUGAAAGAAAACAUCAACAUUUGUUAAAUGUUUCCCAAGCUCUUUUAUUUCAAUCUCGACUUCCUGUAUCUUUUUAAGGUUGUGCAGUCCUGGCAAGCACAUUCUUAAUCAAUAGAAUUCCUCUAGUCAAGCUCAAUGACAAGUCUCCUUAUGAAGUGCUCUUUCACAAAGCUCCUGCUUAUUGACAUCUGAAAUCUUUUGGCUGCUUAUGUUAUGCUUCCAAUUUGAUAGCUCACAGAACUAAAUUUUAGUCUAGAUUUCGAAAAUGUGUCUUUAUUGGGUAUGCAGUAGGAGUGAAGGGUUACAAGUUAUAUGACUUGGACACAAAUUCUUACUUUUAUCUCCCGGGAUGUCUUAUUUCAUGAAACAGUUUUUCCCUUUCAGAACAUCUCCUCACCACUUAAUUCAAGUUCUCUUGAUGUUCCUAACAUGGUGUUACUUACAGUUCCUGAUCCAAGUGUGUUCCCUGAGAUUCCAAAUAGUAAUGUGCCCAUUUCAUCCUCUCUAUCUCCAGUUAGAUAUGAAACUCCAGUCUCUCUUGCACCUUCUCCUGCUUUCACUCUCCCUGAUUCAUCUCCACCCCCUGUCCAAAGGAAAAGCACUAGACACACUAAACUACCAAACUGUCUUCAUGACUACCAUAUCUUACUUCAGACUUCAUCUCAGUCGUUCCUUCCUAGUUCAGUUUGUACUUACUCGAUACAGAAUCACCUCUCCUAUGAUAGGCUAUCAUCCUCCUAUAGAUCCUUCAUUUUAAAUAUGUCUGCCACUUGUGAACCUCACACUUAUGAUCAAACUAUUAAAUUUGAUCAUUGGAAGCAGGCCACGAGGGAAGAAAUUCAAGCUCUAGAGGCAAAUCACACUUAGAUUCUCACACCAUUGCCUACAAGAGCCAAGUCUGUAGGAUGUAAAUAGGUAUACAGAGUGAAAUUUAACUCUGAUGGUUCUAUUGAUAGGUAUAAAGCCAGGUUGGUGGCUAAAGGAUAUACUGAGAGGCCUGGUUUUGACUUCCAAGAGACAUUAAGUCCAGUUGCUAUGCAGACCACAGUAAGAACUUUCCUAGCACUUGCUGCUAUAUAUGGUUGGUUUUUAAUCUCAAUUAGACAUCAAUAAUGCAUUCCUCAAUGGUGAUCUACAUGAAGACGUUUUUAUGGAUAUUCCUUUGGGUUAUGAGGGCAAGGGGGAGUAUGGGAAUCAAUAAAAGCUUGUUUGUAAACUUCAAAAGUCUUUGUAUGGUUUAAAGUAAGCUUCAAGACAGUGGAAUCUAAACUUCAAUUAGGUUUUAUUCUGUCUAAAUGUGAUUAUUCUCUCUUCACUAAGACUGAGAAUGAAGGAUUCAUAGCUGUUUUAGUUUAUGCGGAUGACAUUAUGAUUGACAGCAGUAACAAGAAGUUGAUUGAGAAAUUCAAAAGCUGUUUGCAGAAUCAUUUCAAGUUGAAAGACUUAGGCACUCUUCAAUACUUUUUAGGGCUUGAAGUAGCCAGAUCUGGCAAAGGGAUUGCAAUCUCUCAGAGAAAAUUUGUAUCGAAAUUCUUAGAAGAAUAUGGUUUGUUGGCUGCAAAACCAAGUUCAGUUCUCUUUGAAGUUAAUGCCAAGCUAAUGCACUUCACAGAAGACUUACUUUCUAAUCCUACUAUCUAUAGACAAUUAAUAGGCAAGCUCAUGUAUGUUCAGUUGACCAGGCCUAAUAUUCCCUACAGUGUACAUGUCCUUUCUCAAUUUAUGGACAAGCCAACUCAAACACAUCUCAAUGCAGCAUACAAGAUACUGAAAUACUUAAAAAAUGCUCCCCGGAUAAGGCUUGUUCUUAGCUGCAAGUUCAGAAUUAAAGUUAACUGCAUACUCAAAUAGUGUGACUGGGCUGGAUGUACAGAAACAAGGUCCACAACUGGUUUUUGUGUAUUUCUUUGGAAUUCCUUAAUCAGUUGGAAAUCGAAGAAACGAGCCACAGUCUCUAGAAGUUCUGCAGAAGCCGAGUACAGAUCGAUGCAGCAGUAACUUUUGAAGUACUUUGGUUAAUAUCCCUAUUAACAGAUUUCAAUGUUGUUGUACCUCAUCCUGUGAAGCUCCUUUUUGAAGUAUGUCAGCAAUUUAAAUCUCCAAGAACCCUGUUCUCCAUGAAAGAACUAAACAUAUUGAAUUGGAUUACCAUUUCAUUAGAGAGAAGGUGAUGCUUGGGGUCAUACAACUAGAAUACAUUGGCACUAAGGAGCAGACAACUGACUUAUUCACUAAAACACUGCAUCCGAGACAAUUUAACUAUCUUUUAAACAAGUUGAACAUAAACAAUAUAUAUGUCCAACUUGAGGGGAGUAACAAGAUGGUUUGUAUAGUAGAGCUGAGCUUAAUUAGCUGGUUGGUUAGCCCAACUUAUCCAGUUAAAGUAGAUAGUUGUCAUUACCAUGUAACACGUGAAUUGAGAAGGUUGAUACGCCUAUAUAUAAAGAUUACAGCCAUAUGAAUAAAAUACAGAUUCUCAUUUACGUAAAACUCCGGACAAUUUGAUAUAUUUAUGCUGUAUUAUUUAGUUGUAUUUUUUAGUUUUGAUUAUAUCUUUAAAUAUUUAUCUAUUUCAUCAACUUUAAAAAAUUGCAUAGAGAUAUAUGCAGUUAUAGGCCAGUUUUCACUCCACGCAACCGAAAUUUAAAACUGAAGAAUUUUGAGAAAAUUUAGAGUAUUAUUGUAUUUCACUCUUAAUUUUUACAAUUGGUCUACAUGACUAUUUAUACACAGAAUAAUAUUUAAAUAGGAAGCAAAUAAUAAAAUAAUAAUUACAGAGAUAAUUAAGGAUCAUAAUCAAAUCAAAUCAUAUUCCUAGAAUCAGUUAGGAUCAGUAAAUAAGUCAACACUCCCCCUCAAGUUGGUGCAAAGAUAUCGCACAUAUCCAACUUGCAAAUCAGAUUAUGGUAGAUCUUGUUAUUGAGCCCUUUAGUAAACACAUCCGCAAGUUGCCCAGUAGAAGUCACAUGAACUAGGCUCAAGACACCGUCUAUUAAUUUUUCUUUAAUGAAGUGCCGAUCAAUUUCAAUGUGUUUCAUCCGGUCAUGUUGGACUGGAUUUUGUGCUAUACUUAUAGCAGCUUUAUUAUCACAAUACAAAGUUAUCUUGUCUCUCUUGGGCAAUCUCAACUCCCUCAAUAACUUCUGCAAUCAUAAGAGUUCACACACACCUUGGGCUAUUGCUCUGUAUUCUGCUUCAGCACUUGACUGAGCAACAACACUUUGUUUUUUGCUUCUCCAAGUGACAAGGUUCCCUCCUACAACUGUGCAGUAGCCAGAGGUGGAUCUUCUGUCAUUGAGAGAUCCUGCCCAAUCUGCAUCUGUAAAAGCUUCAACUCGGAGGUGACCAUGUUUGGAGUAAAGAAGCCCUUUCCCUGGCGCAGACUUUAGGUAUCUCAAGAUGCGAAGUACAACCUGCAUAUGAGUCUCGCGAAGAUCAUGCAUGAAUUGGCUGACUAAGCUAACAGCAUAAGCUAUAUUCGGUCGAGUGUGUGAGAGAUAAAUCAAUCUUCCUAUCAAUCUCUGGCAUCUUCCAAUAUCCACGGGCUCACCAGUUCCUGCUUCCAGCUUGUGAUUACUUUCAAUGGGGGAUUCUGCUGGUUUACACCCCAUCAUACCAGUUUCUUCCAAAAGAUCCAGAAUGUACUUUUUUUGGGAGAUGAUAAUUUCUUUUUCUGAUCUAGCCACCUCGAUACUUAGGAAAUAUUGCAGUUUUCCUAGAUCUUUGAUUUCAAAUUCUUGAGCCAACAACAUCUUUAGUUUAGCCAUUUCCUCUUUGUCAUCUCCUGUUACCAUUAUAUCAUCAACAUACACAAUAAGAAAAGUGAUCUUACCCUUGUGAUGUUUAAUAAAGAAAGUGUGAUUAGCAUUGCUUUGUUGAUAACCAAAGGACAUCAUAGCUCUGCUAAACCUGUCAAACCAAGCUCUGGGAGAUUGUUUUAGCCCAUACAAAGCCUUUUUUAACCUGCACACCUUUCCUUGUGUCUUCUCAUCAGCGAACCCAGGAGGAAUUUCCAUGAACACUUCUUUCUCUAAAUCUCCAUGGAGGAAAGCAUUCUUCACAUCAAACUGUUGCAAGUCUCAGUCCAAGUUGGCUGCGCAAGAUAACAGAACUCUGAUUGAGUUCAUUUUUGCAACUGGGGCAAAUGUCUCUUGGUAAUCCACUCUAUAGGUUUGGGUGAAUUCUUUAGCAAUCAAUCUGGCCUUAAAUCGUUCAAUUGUGUCAUCAGCUUUAUGUUUCACUGUGAACACCCAUUUACAGCCAACGAGUUUUUUUCCAGGUGGGAGAGUGAUAAGCUCCCAGGUCCAAUGCUUUCAUCUCUUCAAUCAUUGCUUUCUUCCAUUUAGGAUAUGCGAGAGCUUUAUUCCAAUAAUGUGGAAUAGACACAGAGAAAAUAGACAAGGCAAAUGCUCUAUAGGAAGGAGAUAAGGAUUCAUAAGAAACAAAGUAAGAAAUAGGGUGUUUAGUACAAGAUCUGACCCCUUUUCUUUGUGCAAUAGGUUUAUCUAAGUCAUUGAAGCAUUCAAGAGUUGUGGGUAACUCAUCAGAAGAAGAUUCUUGAGUGGGUAACUCACCAGGAGAAGAUUAUCGACUCUGAGUAGACUGCAUAAUGGCUUUUCUGCCUUGUCUUUCCUUGAAUACCUUCUCAAAUCUGGCUUGUCCAAACGACCAAUUCUCUCUCCCUGAUUGGACAUCUCCCCCUGUCUACUAGAACUCAAACUUUCUAGUUGAACCAUAUCAUUCAGAAUCACAGAAUUCGGGAUCACCUCUUCUUGCUCAUUAUUCUCCUCCUGAAGAGGUGAGUGGGUGAUACUAAAGUAAGGUUCAGUUUCUCGGAAGGUAACAUCCAUAUUAACAAAGUAUUUCCUAGAGGGAGGAUGAUAACACUUGUAUCCCUUCUGUGUUGGAGAAUACCCAACAAACACACAUUUAAGGGCCUUGGGAUCCAAUUUUCCUGCCGUCCUAGUAUGGACAAAGCAAACACACCCAAAUACUUUUAGUAGAACAACGUAUGAAUUCUUCCCUUGUAGAACUGCCAAAGGACUCAUAAAGUCAAGGGUCUUAAGAGGCAUUCUAUUGAUAAGAUAAGCAGAUGCAAGGAUUGCAUCUCCCCAAUAUGCUAUGGGUAGAUUCAUGGUGAACAUAAAAGAUCGAGCUACCUCCAAUAGAUGCCUAUUUUUCCUCUCAGCAACGCCAUUUUGGGCACUAAUAUAAGGACAACUAGUCUGGUGUACUAUCCCAUUACUCUCCAAAUAAGCAGAAAAGCUACUAUCCAUGUAUUCUCUUCCAUUGUCAGUUCUCAAAAUUUUCACCUUAGUAUCAAAUUGAGUACAAACCAUCUUAUGGAAGAUUGAAAACAAGAAAAGACAUCACUUUUAGCUUUAAUCAAAUAGACCCAAGUAAUUCGAGUGCAACAAUCAAUAAAAGUGACAAACCAUCGAUUACCAGACAAGGAGACAGUUUGAGUAGGCCCCCAAACAUCAAAAUGAAUAGUCGCAAAAGGAAUUUGACUUUUAUUAUGACUCAAAGGAUAGGAUGUUCUAGUGUGUUUAGCAUACUCACAAUCAUCACAAAAUAGAGAAUCAAAUUGAUUUAUAGCAAACAAAUUAGGAUAAAGUUUUUCUAAGGCAAAAAAUAAUGGAUGCCUUAACCAUCUAUGCCACUGUAUUAUUUCCUGAUUGACAUCCUUAUUUUCUCCAAAACAGGCUUGAGAUAUCGAAGAACCUGAAUCACCCUCCAACAUAUAUAAGCCAUCAUGCAGCCUACCAUUGCCAAUCCUCUUUCCUGUAUGAAGAUCCUGAAUAACACAAUGAUCAGGAAAGAAUUCAAUUUUACAAUUAAGGGCAUUGGUGAUAGCACUGACAAAUAAAAGAUUGACAGAAAAGUGGGGAACAUGAAGGAUAGAUAAUAAUUUAAUGUUGGAUGUGCAAAUAACAGAACCUGUUCCGGAUAUGGGAGUAAAAGAGCCAUCAGCAAUUCUGACACUAUCUUUGGUUAGAGAAGAAAAAUAAUUGAGAAAGCCUUUAGAAGAGCCUGUCAUGUGUCUAUUCACACCAGAAUCGAUAAUCCAUGGAACAUUAUUAAGAGAUAAAUCAUUACCUGACUUUACAAAGUUAAAUGUGGCACCGGUGGACGAGUAAUCAGAGUUAGGAAUCGAGACCCUUUUACCUUUUGACAUGGUAAAGAUUUGUGAACCGUGAAAGAAUAAGAGGUACUCAAGAUUGUACACACAAGAAAGCCCAAUCAAUUCACCAAAAGACCGAAUAGCGGCAUGGAAAGGCCGGAAAGAUGGUCAGAAUUGUCGCCAGAGUGAUCAGAGCAGCAGAGCAGCGUCAAGCAAUGGGACACGUGCGGUGAGAGGAGGAAAGGCUCCUAGAUGAGUUAGUAUCAAAAAGGUAGAUCUAGGGUUUUGAAACCCUAAAAAAGAAAAAUUGAAUUUGAACCCUAAAAUCAAG